CCAUAAGUCACUGUGCCACAGUGGUGUGUGUGUGUGUGUGUGUGUGUAUAUAUAUAUAUGUGUAUAUAUAUAUAUAUAUAUAUAUAUAUAUAUAUAUACGCACUACCGUGGCACAAUGAUUUAUAG